rnacentral:misc_RNA from 1 species
AUAUAACUUCACAAUAUUCCGAUGCCUGAUCUUUCCCAGUGUCAAAAUUUCGGCACGGAAGCUAUUGUCAAUGGUGCUCCCCUCUCUGUUUGAUGCUAAUUUCUUAACUGCAAUAGUGUGACCAGAUGGCAAGACUGCUCUAUAUACAGUUCCACAAGCUCCCCUUCCUAUCACAAAGCUGUCAUCAAAAUUGUCAGUUGCUGCAACCAAGUCCUGGAAAGUGAACCCUUCCUUCGGAGAAAAGUAAAUAUCCGAAACUGGAGAAGAGAAUGAUUUUUCUUGCAAAGGAGCAACUGUUUCAACUGGGCGUCUCAUGAAAUAUAUAAUCACUAUAACUAAAAUGAGAGACACCCCACCAACAAAAGCUGCAACUAUAGCAAUAAUUUUACCUAAACGGGCAUUUUUCCCUUCCGUAGCUGAAGCAAGAUAGGACGAUGGAGAUUCACUGCACUUACCAAAAGGUCCACCACAAAGCCCGUCAUUCCCAAGAAAACAGUUGUUGCAUGUGUUUAGAAAGAGUGGCAAGGAAGGUAAAGGCCCUUUUAAGUCAUUGUAAGAAAAGUUGCAUCCAAGUAGGCUAGAAAGGUUCAUUAAGGAGCCUGGAAUUUCACCACUCAAAUGAUUGUUGUUGAGCAGCAGGAAUUCCAGUAACACAAGAUUUCCUAGCUCUCCAGGUAUUGACCCAGAGAGAUUAUUAUAGCUGAGGUUUAAUGCAAUCUGCAAGCUUGAUAGGCUACCCAUCUCAGCUGGGAUCCUAUCAGAAAAUAAGUUUCCUCCCAUUUGUAGUUCAGUUAGGCGGCUCAGAUUUCCCACCUCCAGAGGUAUAAUACCAGAAAUUUGAUUGUCUGAGAGCAUGAGAAGCUCCAAUUGGGAAAGGCCUCCUAUCUCACUUGGUAAAGCACCUACAAAAUUGUUCUGGCUGAGAUCAAGUCGUUGCAGCAUCGUGCAGUUAAAGAUCUCUGCUGGUAUUGUUCCAUUGAGCAGAUUAGAUGAGAUGUUGAAGGUCACCAAUUCAGAAAGUUUACCAAUCUCUUUUGGCAAUUCACCUAUAAAGUAGUUAUCCGGGAGAUGCAGCCUUUUCAGAACGUGGCAGUUACCUAUCUCAGGAGGAAUGGGACCAUUAAACUUGUUCUGGCCCAAUUCAAUACUAGAGAGAUUCACUAGCUUGCAUAAAUCAGCUGGAAAGCUCCCAAUAAGUUCAUUUCCUGCAAGAUAAAGCUGCGCCAACGUCUUGCAGUUAAUGAUACCAGUUGGGAUAUAACCUGAGAGGUUAUUUGACCCAAGGUUCAACAAAAAAAGGUUACCAUUUCUACAAAGAUGAGGUGGAAUUGUUCCAGUUAGGUAGUUAUUUGAUAAAUCCACCACCCAUAGGUUUCCAUAGACUCCAAGUCCUUGAGGAAUGUUACCAUUAAAUAAGUUGUUGAAGAGCUGCAACAUGAUCAACUGCUUCAGAUACUGGAAUCCCACAGGAAUACUACCUGUGAGAUUAUUAAUGGAGAGGUCGAGCCUUGUUAAGUUUACCAAAGUAGUAAGCUCAUCUGGGAUGACACCAGUAAGCUCAUUCUCGAAAAGAUAAAGCAACUGCAAUCCAGUUAUCUUAGCCAACUCUGUUGGUAUCACUCCAGUCAACAUGUUCUCAGAGAAAUCAAUCUCUACUGCAGAAGACAGAUUCCCAAUCUCUUUUGGGAUCGUUCCAUUCAAGUGAUUUCUGUAGAGGUAUAACUUUUCCAGGAACACCAGGUCACCAAGCUCCUCGGGUAUAGGCCCCACAAGAUAGUUGUCAUAGAGAGCAAGAGUCACCAAAUUUUUACAAUUGCUUAGCUCCUUUGGAAUAGACCCUGAAAGCUGAUUUCCCCAAAGGACUAUAUCUGUCAAAUACUUUAGCAUUCCAACCUCUCUCGGUAUUUCCAUACCCAAUUGAUUUUGUGCAAGACCAAGAAUCUGCAAGUUCUCACAUCCACCUAUCUCUGGAGGUAAGCUUCCUGAUAUCAAAUUCUGCCCUGCUCUAAAUACAGUUAGAUUUUUAAGAUUGCCAAAUGAAGCUGGCAAUGGUCCAGUGAUGUUAUUACUAUAGGCAAUCAAUUGUGUCAAGGACAAAAGGUCACCAAUCUUGUUAGGGAAGGAGCCAGAUAUUCUGUUGUUGGAGAUAUUGAAAAUUGACAAAGAAGAAAGUUUAACUACAUCUACAGGAAUCUGGCCUUCAAAUUGGUUAUUGUUUAGACGAAGAACCUUUAAACUAGAACAAUUCCCAAUCUCACUAGGGAUAUUUUGAGAAAAACGGUUAAAAGAAAGAUCAAGAUAAAUCAAACUAGACAAGCCACCUACACUUGGUGACAAAGAACCAGAAAGAUUCAUAUAGCUCAAAUCAAGAGACCAAACCACUGGAUUGUAAUCAUUUGUGCAAUUCACACCUUUCCACCCACAAGGGGCGGAAUCAUUGGGAUUCCAGUCACUCAGAUGAUUAUAAUUGUCAACGAAUUUUCCCUUUAAAUCUAAGAGAAAUUGACCCUCAGCAUUAAGCCCUAAAGAUUGAUGAACCAUAAGGACAAUAAAAAGACCAAAAAAGGUGAUAGACCCACGUGAUAUUUUCUCCAUACCUACCAAAUAGAAGAGGAAUAUAUACUCAAGGUUUUGCAUUCACACGAAGAACAGACAAUUCAUGGUUGGAUAUGAAACAAAAGAGCAAAAUAUGAACUACACAGACAAUAAUCUCUUUAAACUCUCAUAAUAAUCCUCUUCUAUCACCAAACUAGGUUGUUCUAUUGGUUCAAGGAUCUGAGAUAUGCAUAUGCAGAUCACAGAAGUUUCAAAACCACAUACGAUAGACAAAGAAAAGUAAGCAACGACUGUACAUACCUCUUGGGUGAACGACCAACCCGAAGAAAAAAAGCCAACCCAAGAAAAACACAGGAACUGGGAAGAGAAAAUUGAAUAUUAGAGGGACUAUUUUUACCAGGAAGACCUCAAGUUUUGAAUAUAUGAGCUAGUAUUCUUUAAU